rnacentral:rRNA from 1 species
UACAGAGGGGGCUAGCGUUAUUCGGAAUUAUUGGGCGUAAAGGGCGCGUAGGCGGCCACGCGUGUCUUUCGUGAAAUCCCUCGGCUUAACUGAGGACGUGCGGAAGAAACUGCGAGGCUUGAGUCCGGGAGAGGGGGGUGGAAUUCCUGGUGUAGCGGUGAAAUGCGCAGAUAUCAGGAAGAACACCCGUGGCGAAGGCGGUUCUCUGGGACGGUACUGACGCUGAGACGCGAAAGCGUGGGGAGCGAACAGG